rnacentral:rRNA from 1 species
AAUACCGGAUAAUUCAUUUACUCGCAUGAGGAAAUGUUGAAAGGUGGCUUUUAGCUACCACUUACAGAUGGACCCGCGGCGCAUUAGCUAGUUGGUGAGGUAACGGCUCACCAAGGCCACGAUGCGUAGCCGACCUGAGAGGGUGAUCGGCCACACUGGGACUGAGACACGGCCCAGACUC